GUGGCAGAAAAGAAGAGAUAGAGAGAGAGAAUGAAUAAUGACUUAAAGUGGAAACAAGAAACCCCACCUUUCAUCCCACUAUCUACAUUUUUUAUCUCUUUUCUCUACACUACAUAAACAGUACUAGUAUGAUAUAGGUUGGAUUGUGUGUGAGUGUGGUAAUGGUCUCUUUCAGUUUCAGGAGUUGAUUGAUUUGUUAUAAGGAAUUGUAGCAACAACUUAUUUUUAGCUGAAGCUUUGGAUUCAUGACAUUAUGAGAAUGUUUAAUCUCAAACUAAGAAUUAUGGAUAGAUGAAGAGAGCUUCCUUCAGUCCACUCAUGGAAGGGUAAGGGGUUAGAAUUACCUGCUGACUCAUUGAUUCAAACACAAUAGAUAAGGAAUGAUAGAAUGCUAUUGUGAAUGUGUGAAUGAUGCAGGAGGUAAAUUUCUUCCUUUUCUUCUCUUUGCUUGGACUGAAGGGAGCUCCCUUUUUCUCUCUUUAAUAAUAUUCUCUCUUACCUUGCUUAUAAUUGUAACUAUCUAUUGUUGUAUUGGAGUCUCAUAUUUUGUUAAUCUUUUGAGCUGUUGAAUGUAUAAAUGGUGUUGGACUGUAUGGAUGUAUGGAAGUAUCACAUAUUGUCAAGAUUUCCAAGCUGCUGGGUCAAUUUAUGGAGUUGAUCUAAUUUUUGAGAUGAGAUCUAAGCUCAUUUAACAAUAAUUGGUUUCAUGUUAAAUUUUUUUAGUUAGUUAACUAACAUACUUCUAUUUCCAUGAACUCUUAAUUUCAUCUAGGGUUUUGCCCUGGGAGAACUCUUGAAUAUGAUCAAGAAUCUCAAGUACUGCCAGAGAUUAUAAAUAAGGGUUUUUGUGGUAAUAAUGGUUCUAGCUUUAUUGUGUUUUGCAUUAUUGCAUAAUUGUAGUAUUUAUUUACAAGCAAUAUUCAUAUCAAUGAACUGAUAUUUCUUUCUUGCAGUGUCACAGAUAAAGUAAGGAUCUCUCCAUUUUUUUUAUCCUCCAUUUCUUAAAAGAAAAAAAUGGAGGUGCUCCUUACAAUAAUUGGAAAGGAUCUUUGCUCAGGGUAGCUAGAUCCGGUAUUAUUAGAACCUUUUAAUUAUAGAAUGACACCCAGUGUUCUUGGUUUGCAAUUUUACUAAACAAAUGAUGGAAUUUAUCACAUCUAUAUAUGUUUUGAAGUUUAGUAUAUGGGAAAUUCAUGUAAAAUUUUCUUGUUCACACUCUUUUAGGUGUAUUUAAUGAUUAAUGUAUCUAGUUCAUAUAUUGACCAAAUAAAUUAAUCAUUUCAUAAAUUUAAAAAAAAGUAAGUUUUCUCUUAUAAUAUGUGAUAUAGUUCAUUUUGUAUACAUUGGAAAAUGUCCAAUGUGUUUACCAAUGAAACUAUGUAAUGUUAGUGUAAGUUUUAAUGUCAUUGUAAUACCAAACAUAUUCACUUCUUCAAAAAAAAAAACAUGGAUCACUUCUCUUAUUGUUUCUCUAACUUUUUGAAUAUUUUUUUUUGCUUACUAUGCAUGUGAGGCUGUGAUUGGGGGGUUUGUUGGUUGAGAACUUAUUGUUAGAUUAGAACUAUGUGAAUGACAGCAUUGAUUGUGGUGUAAUGUUGCAUGCAGUAUGUGUAUGUCGGUUACUUUAUUCCGAAUAAAAACACAAUGUUGUCCCCAUCACACGCACGCUUUUUUUCGAUGAAAAAUAGUGUUUGCUUGCUUACCAUGUUUGCCUGCUCUGCUGAUUGCAAUUUACAACACUUUUUUUGGUUGUCUCAUUCUGCUCUGUCAUUAUCAUCAGGUACGUAUUUUUCACCGGAGUGUAAAAUGGAAAACCAACGAAGCAUCGUUAGAAAAACCACAGGGUAAUAGGCAAUGGAUAUCUGAAUUACACACUUUUCAGUCAAGUGCAAUUUUACUUGGAUAUUAAAUGUUACAUGUGUCGUACAAAUGAAACUAAUCAUAGUCAGUUAGUGGCUUAAGACCUAAAUUUUUGAAUGCAGAUUCAUAAUAAACAAAGAUUGUAUGCUUGUAAUGUGACGUUCCAUUAGACCAUUGCUGAGUUAUGAUGUUGGGCAAAGCAUAGCAUCUAAACCUGCACAAGUUUUACUUUAUUGUAAGAUUCAUCACAAGCUUGACUCAAACAUGAUAAUAUGUUAAAGCAUUAAUAUCAUGUUUGGUUUAGCAUUAAAGUGAAGGUUGUAAUCGCUGAUGGCAAUGAAAAUAAGAAUCAUUCCAGUUUUGACAUAUAGUGGUUCCAACUUUCUUCCGAUUGUAGUUGCUUCAGCUUCCUCCCGAUCAUAAUUGCAGCAAUCGAACUGUGUGGUCAGAUUCUACUAAGUUCAGUGUCAAUUACACUGGACCAACUAAAUGAUUGAUCUUUGUAUCAAUUGUUUUGUUCAAACUAUUUCUCUCCUGUUUAAUAACAUUUGAUUUAAAAAUUACUUAUUUAAAAUUUUAAUUAUAUCAAAUUAUUUAGACAGUAAGUUUUUUUUUUUUUAUACAAUG